rnacentral:tRNA from 2 species
CUGGGAAGAUAACGAUUGGUUGUUUACCUGCUUUGGAUGCAGGAGGUUGUAGGUUCGAGUCCUGCUUCCCAGACAA